rnacentral:rRNA from 1 species
UGGGGAAUAUUGGACAAUGGGCGCAAGCCUGAUCCAGCCAUGCCGCGUGAGAGAUGAAGGCCUUAGGGUUGUAAAGUUCUUUCACCGGUGAAGAUAAUGACGGUAACCGGAGAAGAAGCCCCGGCUAACUUCGUGUCAGCAGCCGCGGUAAUACGAAGGGGGCUAGCGUUGUUCGGAUUUAUUGGGCGUAAAGCGUACGUAGGCGGACUUUUAAAUCAGGGGUAAAAUCCCGGGGCUAAACCCCGGAACAGCCUUUGAUACUAGAAGUCUGGUGUAUGGUAGAGGUGAGGGGAAUUCCGAGUGUAGAAGUGAAAUUCGUAGAUAUUCGAAAGAACACCAGUGGCAAAGGCGGCUCACUGGACCAAUACUGGCGCUGAGGUGCAAAAGCGUGGGGAGCAAACAGG